ACUCAUUUUUAGUCUGUCAAAUGUGAAAGUAGGUGAUGCAACACGUGUGACAACACUUUAGACAUACGGUAGUCACACCGAAGAAAGUUUAGCAAUUAUGACUGAGCCAACACAACAAAUGGAAGACGUUUCAAUAAAAGACGAAAAAAUGGAUAAAGUGGAUGAAGAUGAUGUAGUGAAUCCAUGGGAAGUGGCAACAAGCUCAGCAACAGGCGUGGAUUAUGAUAAACUCAUAAAGAGGUUUGGAAGCACCAAAAUAGAUGAUGCCUUGUUGCAGAGGAUUGAAAAAGUCACAGGAAAACCUGUUCACCAUUUACUGCGAAGAGGAAAAUUCUUUUCUCAAAGAGAUAUGCACAUCAUCCUGGACUUGUAUGAACAAAAGAAGCCCUUCUAUUUGUACACAGGAAGAGGCCCAUCUUCUGACUCCAUGCACAUGGGCCAUCUUAUUCCAUUUAUCUUUACCAAAUGGUUACAGGACACUUUUGAUGUCCCACUCGUCAUACAGCUGACGGACGAUGAGAAAUACCUGUGGAAGGACCUCACUCUGGAACAGGCCAACCACAUGGCAUUCGAAAACGCCAAAGACAUCAUUGCCUGUGGAUUUGAUAUUGAAAAAACUUUCAUUUUUAGUGAUUUGGACUUUAUAUCAAACAGUCCGGCAUUCUACAGAAACAUGUGCCGAGUUCAGAAACUGGUGACCUACAACCAGGUGAAGGGGAUCUUUGGUUUCGGGGACAGUGACUGUAUCGGAAAGAUCAGUUUUCCAGCCAUCCAGGCCUCUCCCAGCUUCAGCUCGUCCUUCCCGGAAAUAUUUAAUGGCCGCUCAGACAUCCCUUGCCUCAUUCCAUGUGCAAUUGAUCAGGAUCCCUACUUCCGGAUGACUCGUGAUGUGGCCCCGCGGAUGAACUGUCUGAAGCCUGCUCUGAUUCACUCCACCUUCUUCCCGGCCCUCCAGGGUGCCCAGACCAAGAUGAGCGCCAGCGACCCCACCUCCUCCAUCUUUGUAACCGAUUCAGACAAACAGAUCAAGGAUAAGGUAAUGGAACUUUAUUAUUGUCCACUAAAUAUCUUGAGAACAUUCUGCUUGCUUGUGAAGAAAUCGGUCCUUAUUGAUAUUGCUAACUGGAGCAUAUUCAAUUCUCUUUUUUUUUUUAUUCAAUUGACUUCUCAAGGUGAUGGCUCUCCAAAAAAAGAAAGAAAAUUUAAAUGUUGAGGGCAUAUUGCAGAUUAUGGGAGAGGCAAAGAAAGAUGAAAAAAAAAAACACUGUACAGGGUAUUUUCAUUUUUGAUGAUAUAAAAAAUUUUGGCUUCUACUUUUCAGAUCAACAAGUAUGCUUUCUCUGGAGGUGGAGCGACUGUGGAGGAACACAAGGAGAAGGGAGGUAACUGUGAUGUGGACGUGUCUUUUCAGUAUCUGACAUUCUUCAUGGAGGAUGAUGAUAGACUGGAGGAAAUCAGAAAGGUCAGAAAAAGGAAUCAUUUCUAGUCUUGAAUAGGAAAUAUUUUCUACGGUAUACACUUUGAUUUAUAUGUGCACCAGUAGGUGACAGAAUUAUUCAAUCUGAAAAGUCAAGUUUUUAUAUGGGACACAAUUUUGCUGAUUUAUUUCUAUGAUUUAUGAAUUAACACUGUUUUUCAUAAUUUGCUGUGUAUGCAAAUUUGUUUGUAAGAGGUAAGCUGCUAUGAAAUCUAAUGAUUCUAGAGUUUGUCCAUCAAUGUACAAAUAUUUAUAGUGAUUCAGUAUUCGUUUGUAGACAUAUACUAGUGGAGAACUGUUGACGGGGUUCCUGAAGAAAGAGUUGGUGGAAAUCCUACAGAAGCUGGUAGGAGAACACAGGCAGAGAAGGGCCUCCCUCACCGAUGAUGUUGUCAAACAGUUCAUGACUCCCAGGAAACUGAAGUUUGACUACCCCCCACCCACCCCUCCCUCAGAAAAAAAGAAGAAAAAGAAGCAGAAAAACUCAAAGGCAGUUUGAUCAUGUUCAUGCUUCAGGAAAUUCUAUAUUUAAACUAAUUGACCUCUUAUAAUUUCUUAAACUGUCUGAUCUGGAACAGUUAUUUACAGAAAUCUUCGAACUGUAAAGAUUUAAUGACCAAGUAUGUACAAUGAAGAUGGUUUUAUUUUUCAGGUGUAUGUUUCUAAUUUCUUUUUUUAUUUUCUAUCAAACGUUCAAUAUUUGUUUCAUUGUGUACAUUUUAGAAUAUAUUAACUUAUUCAAGUAACUGUACUAUAAUAGUGUCAGGCUUUAUUCUUUUAAGAAUGUUUAUAGCAUUUCAAUUGCUCUUUAAUUUUUGAAGAGUUACCGGUAUUUGGCAUGGAAAUAUGAAAGAGUACAAUAGCAUAUUUAUACAAUGUUUCCUCAGUGUGAAUUCUUUACUAUUACAGCUUUUUUUAUACCACAUGAUUAAAUGAAUAUUUGAUUCCAUAAUGAAUAAUGAAUCUAUUGGAAAUGUCUGUAAUUUUUUUUUUUAUAAAUAUAGGAAAAUGUUUAACU
rnacentral:misc_RNA from 1 species